GUAUCAUGGCUCAGGAUGAACGCUAGCUACAGGCUUAACACAUGCAAGUCGAGGGGAAACGACAUCGAAAGCUUGCUUUUGAUGGGCGUCGACCGGCGCACGGGUGAGUAACGCGUAUCCAACCUGCCCACCACUUGGGGAGUAACCUUGCGAAAGUAAGACUAAUACCCAAUGAUAUCUCUAGAAGACAUCUGAAAGAGAUUAAAGAUUCAUCGGUGAUGGAUGGGG
rnacentral:rRNA from 1 species